rnacentral:lncRNA from 1 species
CAGCGCCGGUGACACGCCUGCCGCUCCCCCUUCUUCUGCACUUGCUCCAGGGUGCGGGCGCCUGGGAUGUUAUUUUCAAAAUGCAGRAUGGUGACUCUGCCUCAUUAAGUCUCUUAGGAACUGACUACCACCUCUAGACCGAUGCUUUUGAUCAUCACCGUUAUUCCUACUAAAUUCCUGUGAYAUUGAGUAUACCCAUAAAAAUGCCUUAG